GUGUAUAAGAGACAUGUGAAUCAUCGAAUCUUUGAACGCACAUUGCGCCCGCCAGUAUUCUGGCGGGCAUGCCUGUUCGAGCGUCAUUUCAACCAUCAAGCCCCAGGCUUGUGUUGGGGCUCUGCGGAGACGCAGACCUCUAAAAGCAGUGGCGGGCUCGCUGUCAUUCCGAGCGCAGUAUUGUAUCUUCGCUUUGGGCGUGGCGGCAGGUUCCAGCCGUGAAACCACCUAUUUUCUCAAGGUUGACCUCGGAUCAGGUAGGAAUACCCGCUGAACUUAAGCAUAUCAAUAAGCGGAGGA
rnacentral:misc_RNA from 1 species